UACGUAGGUGGCGAGCGUUAUCCGGAUUUACUGGGCGUAAAGAGCGCGCAGGCGGUCGUUCAAGUCGAGUGUGAAAGCCCCCGGCUCAACUGGGGAAGGUCAUUCGAUACUGAUCGACUCGAAGGCAGGAGAGGGAAGUGGAAUUCCCGGUGUAGUGGUGAAAUGCGUAGAUAUCGGGAGGAACACCAGUGGCGAAGGCGACUUCCUGGCCUGUUCUUGACGCUGAGGCGCGAAAGCUAGGGGAGCAAACGGG
rnacentral:rRNA from 1 species